AAGUCGUAACAAGGUUUCCGUAGGUGAACCUGCGGAAGGAUCAUUAACACGUAUCCAAACGUUAAACCCCCCUGUGAACCUUCAGUCGUACUCGUACGUCCGUUAGAAAAAGCAGCAAUCCCUGGUAAAUCAUCGCCGAACAGUUUUCGAUUCAGGGACGUCUGCAAGGAGCGUGCAUGUUGUGCGUGUAAGUGGCCUGGCAUCCCCAAGCAGUUAGUGUCUAAAAGUGUCACUAACGUUAGUGUCUGAAAGUGUCACUAGCCCACACGGCCGACGACCGGGUCACUGGGUGCAAGCCCCCUUAUCACACCCCUGCUCUAUCUAUGGUGAUCCUGCGGGAAGUCCUGCGGUCGAACGCCGAAACCGAACAACUGUUAACAAUGGAUAUCUUGGUUCUC
rnacentral:misc_RNA from 1 species